rnacentral:tRNA from 1 species
UAGCUCAGUCAGUAGAGUGUAACGCUAACAACGCUAAGGUCGCGGGUUCAAUUCCUGU